rnacentral:rRNA from 1 species
UGGUGGAGUGAUUUGUCUGCUUAAUUGCGAUAACGAACGAGACCUUAACCUACUAAAUAGUCACGCUGAAUCUCAGUAUUCGUGGACGACUUCUUAGAGGGACUAUUGGUGUUUUUAACCAAAGGAAGUUUGAGGCAAUAACA